rnacentral:rRNA from 1 species
GUGAGGAAUAUUGCGCAAUGGAGGCAACUCUGACGCAGCCAUGCCGCGUGCAGGAAGAAGGCGCUACGCGUUGUAAACUGCUUUCAACCGGGAAGAAACCCCAGGACGUGUCCUGGGUUGACGGUACCGGAGGAAUAAGCACCGGCUAACUUCGUGCCAGCAGCCGCGGUAAUACGAAGGGUGCAAGCGUUAUCCGGAUUCAUUGGGUUUAAAGGGUGCGUAGGCGGAGCGUUAAGUCAGUGGUGAAAUCCUGCAGCUUAACUGUAGACUUGCCAUUGAUACUGGCGCUCUUGAGUGCGCUUGAAGUGGGCGGAAUGUGCCGUGUAGCGGUGAAAUGCUUAGAUAUGGCACAGAACACCAAUUGCGAAGGCAGCUCACUAAGGCGAUACUGACGCUGAGGCACGAAAGCGUGGGGAUCGAACAGGAUUAGAUACCCGAGUAGUCC